CUCUGCCCCGGCUGCUCCUGAUCGCUGGCUGGGGCCGGCCGCACCCUGCACACACUGGAGCGGCAGGUUUUCCCAUCUUGCACUGUGUUGCUUUUAUGAGUCCUCUGGCAUUCAUUCUGGAUCGCAGAGAUUAACCCCAUUCACGAAGGGCUGGCAGGCUGUGAAUGGCUGAGAGGCAGCCGAAGGAGCUGGCAAGAGAGGCCGCCGCCGUCAUGGCCAGGUGCCUGCGGGAGGCAAGUGUCCAGGGCUGCACCCAGCCUGUGUGUCUUGAUUGGGAAUGAGACCAGCAGCCCGGCCCGUGUCUAUAAAUAACCAGCCCACGACGAUUCGUCCCUCCUGGUUGCGAUCGUCCGAACAAAGAGAAGCAGCCCGUUCCCGAGUCGGAGCCGCCCUGACCACUCCGAGGCCUUGGCAGCAUCUGCGUCUCAGAGAGAGAUUUCAGCGGUGGCUGCACCAGAAUCCUCCCAGUGAGCCACUUGAUGCGGCAGCAGAGAUUAAGUCAGACUGGCCGGGCAGCAAUUUACACAAACGCCCGUUUGUCCUUGAGGACGGAGCACGGCUCUUUGAAAGAAGGUGGGAAUGCAAUCAAUAUCGCUGCCUCCUCGCAGGCCAGGGUCUGGACACGCGUGUCAGCCUGUGACCAUCACAAGGACCCUCGUCGGUAGAUAGGGUCACCCCCUGCCCGGCAGAAAAGAAGUCAGAGCUCACGGAGGUGGCACGGCGUGGACGGUUUCACAGGGACAGACCUGGGAUGUACAGCCAGAUCUCUCCGGCUGGGAAGUACCUGUUCUCAAGGAAAAAGGACAUCUGGGGGAAAACUGGCGACAACUGGGCCAGGACUGCAGGUUAGUUGGCGGUCACGUGCCAGUGUGAGGUUCCCGGUUUGGUCGUUGUACCAUCGUUACGUACGACGUCGGCGUGAGAGGAAGCUGGGCGAGGCGCGUGCCGGGAGUCUCGGUGCUGUUCCCACACCUUUUCUGUCACUCUAAAAUGAUU